AGAAGUCGAGAUUUAUAGACCGGGAAAUAUUGGCCUUUUUUUGAAGUCUUUGCUCCAUUAUCGUUACACGACAACGAGCAAAUAGGGGCAGCUAUAAUGCCUAAUUUUAUCCCGGGCCCAAAAGCCACAAACAGAAAAAAUAAACAUAAAUAAAUAAAACAAAACAAAAUAAAAAUCAAACGAACCCAAAAUAAAAAUAAAGUUCAGUCCAGAAUUACAUAAACCCAAUAACCCAAACUAAAACCCAAAUCAGCCCAAAUGCAACAAAAACCCUAGUGGCCCAACAGUCCAAAAAACUAAACAUUUUCAGCAGCAAAAAGGGAGGGAAAACCCUAGCUGUCGUUGCCCUAAUUGCCACCGC
rnacentral:lncRNA from 1 species